UACGAAGGGGGCUAGCGUUGUUCGGAAUCACUGGGCGUAAAGGGCGCGUAGGCGGCCUGAUAAGUCGGGGGGUGAAAGCCUGUGGCUCAACCACAGAAUUGCCUUCGAUACUGUUAGGCUUGAGACCGGAAGAGGUAAGUGGAACUGCGAGUGUAGAGGUGAAAUUCGUAGAUAUUCGCAAGAACACCAGUGGCGAAGGCGGCUUACUGGUCCGGUUCUGACGCUGAGGCGCGAAAGCGUGGGGAGCAAACGGG
rnacentral:rRNA from 1 species